UCUGCACACAACAUGAACGCGAUCGGCAGGCCAGAUAUCAAACAUGUCGUACAAGCCGGAAUACAUUCCACAUCAAAUACAGUUCUACACAGCACAUCCAACAGACCCACUGGACGACGGACAGCCCCAGCACACACGAAAGUUCACUCAUCAAGCGGACAUGAAGAUCAUUGAACUGUCGAAGAGGAACUGAAGAAAAGAAGAGGACUACACUCCACACCCACAAUGGCAGCCCCGUCAAAAACAUACAAUCACAAGUCACACAUCAGGACGACGUCAGAAUUUCACUCAGGAAAGUUCUUUCCACAUAAUGCAUAUGGAGGAAAAAGGACAAUGUGGAUGGCGCAUCUUUAUGUGAAGUGACAGAGUAGAGAACUCGCACCACUUGAGCAGCAAAACCGGAAGCGAGAGCUCUGAUUGGUCUAGUCAUGUCUUCAAAUGCAACCGUUUAUUACUAUUUAUUGUCAGAAUUCGAGGAAACUUCUAGAUUUCAGAAAGUGUUAAAGAAAGCGUCGAUUGAAGACAGCAUCAAAGUAAACAAACAAACAAACCA